rnacentral:rRNA from 1 species
CCUACGGGUGGCAGCAGUGAGGAAUAUUGGUCAAUGGGCGCGAGCCUGAACCAGCCAAGUCGCGUGAAGGAUGACUGCCCUACGGGUUGUAAACUUCUUUUAUAAGGGAAUAAAGUGAGCCACGUGUGCCUUUUUGCAUGUACCUUAUGAAUAAGGAUCGGCUAACUCCGUGCCAGCAGCCGCGGUAAUACGGAGGAUGCGAGCGUUAUCCGGAUUUAUUGGGUUUAAAGGGUGCGUAGAUGGGUUGUUAAGUCAGCUGUGAAAGUUUGCGGCUCAACCGUAAAAUUGCAGUUGAAACUGGCAGCCUUGAGUGCGGUUGAGGUAGGCGGAAUGCGUGGUGUAGCGGUGAAAUGCUUAGAUAUCACGAAGAACUCCGAUUGCGAAGGCAGCUUACUAAGCUGCCACUGACAUUGAUGCACGAAAGUGUGGGUAUCAAACAGGAUUAGAUACCCCAGUAGUC